rnacentral:lncRNA from 7 species
CUUAUGUUUGGUGUAAUGUUAAUUUUGUUUAUACACUGUUUGUUCGUAUUGUUAUGACUAGCGGUGAGGUCACAAGGAUCUGAAGAAUCAUCCUGGUAACUGGAAUCUCAAGUGCCAGGUAAGUUGUGCCCUUGAUCACUUUUGAUUACCUAAUAAUAUUCUUUAUUAUCAUUAUUCAAUGCAUAAGUUUAAUUUUGAUGGGACCCAAUAGGUCACCCCAGUCUCAUUAUCUUUUACCUUGUUUACCCCUGAAUCACUUGGGUAGUUUUGCUAUUGAUUUACAUGAUUUUGGGAUAAUAUUUCAUUAUAUCCAUGUUCCAAUUAUUCUGUUAUGUUAUUUAUGUUCAUGUAAAGAUCAUUAUCUUUAAUUGGAACAUGGAGCUUAACUUGAGAAACACGUGCCACCACAAGGGUGGAAUGGGACGCACUUGGCUGACUAAUUAGGAAAGCUAGUGGAAGACUACCUUACCCGAAAGGGGCAAGGGCAGUAGGGGAGUUGCAUGCAAGGAGGUUCUCGGGUUGAUUUGGCUGCGAUGGCGGUCAGACGAGGGAUUCUUGCAAGUGCUCUUCCCAUAAACUGUAGCGGGUUUUCGAAAGCUAGUGGAACUUUGUAAAGGCCUCGUAGUUGAUCCCUAGCCAUUCACCUCGGUAGUGUCUAAGGGCCUUGCAAACCCUGGCGUCAUGGGAUACACGACUUGUGGGUACAGGGUACAACCUCUGCAGACUGUAAAACUGGUAUACUAGCCGAGCUCAUGGUUAUGAGCAGCUCAGGACUCUCGCAUGAUUAAUUUAUGGAACUUAAAUUAAAUUUUGUCAUUUGCAUAUGCAUGAGAUUAUUUAUUAAUUUUGUUCUAUUAUUAUUUAUUAUGGUUUGUUAUUUACUUACAUUUAGUAAUUGCUAAUAAAACUUGACCAACUUAUUAAAAGCAAUGCUCAGCUUUAACCCCUAUUGUUGAUCAGCUUUACACAUCACAUGAACUCCCACCUUUGGUGAGUUCAUGCCACAUUAUUCCCCACAACUUGUUGAGCGAUGAACAUGUGUGAGCUCACCCUUGCUGUCUCACACCCCCCCACAGGAGAAGUACAGGUGGUUCAAGAGGAGCCACACGACGAGGAGUUCGAUUCGAUCUAGGUGGCGUCUCCCAGUUGACUUUUUUGCGCCAAGGAUGGACUUUAGUUCUAUCUAUAUUUAUCUUUUAUUUUGUAAGAAUUCCGCUAUGUAAUAAGUACUCUGAUUAUAUUGUGACAUUUAUCUCUAUACACUCUGUUAUUAU